rnacentral:rRNA from 1 species
CGCCCAGAGGUAGAACGGGUGGAUCCGCAAAGUCGGCCCGCGGAAUUCAGCGCGGCGCGCGACCUGGGGCUGCUGAGGUUCGGGAUCCCUGUGGACCCGGCCUCGGCGUCGCGCCGGGUCCCGCCGCGUGCACUUUCCGCGGGCAGAGCGCCACGACCGGUUUGGCGGCGGCCAUAAGGCGUCGGGGAAGGUAGGCGAGGGCCCUCGGGUCCACGCUGUUACAGCCCUGGCUGCCGAGCCGCUGCCGGACCGAGGGACGGCCGCGCGCUUCGAGGCUUCCCGGCCUUCCCGUGGAGUUCGACUGGCAGGGACUGGGCAACCGUGCCUGCCGACCGCUCCGCGGGAACGGAUCGGGUCAGCCGGGCGCGCUCAGGGUCGGUGGCGAAUCUGUCGGCAUUCCACCCGACCCGUCUUGAAANCACGGACCCAAGGGAGUCUAACAUGGGGCGGGAAGUUCAUUGGGCUGUACGAAACCCCAAAGGCGCAGUGAAAGCGAGGGUCGCCUCGGGCUGACCCAGGUGGGAUCCUCUCGCCUCCGUCAAAAGAGUGUGCGGGGGGGCGCACCACCGGCCCGUCCCGUCUGCGCUGGCAGUGGGGCGGAGCAUGAGCGUGCACGCUGGGCACCCGAAAGAUGGUGAACUCAUGCCUGAGUAGAACGAAGCCAGAGGACACUCUGGUGGAAGUCCGUCAGCCGAUNCUCAC